GUGCCUCGUGUAUCUCGCUGCCUGUUCUUAGGCGUACGUCUCAUCACAUGCAACAGAAAAAAGUAUAACAAAACUUCUUCAACGCUGGUGGUUACCUUGUUGCAGCCAAAUGGUGAAAGGUGUGACAAAGACAGAUUGAGCCUUUGUAUGCAGUAUGCGGUUGCAGUGUAAUCCAGAAGUUGCUGUGCUGUUGCAGCUGAGCUGUUCCAUCUGGGUUCCUGACUUGAAAAUUUUUGUGUUGUCGUUUUUAUCCAUGCCAUGAAAUUGCUCUGUGUUAACUGUGUGCUGACUUAAAAGUUUGAUGUGUUGUCUUUCGA